GACGAACGCUGGCGGCGUGCCUAAUACAUGCAAGUAGAACGCUGAAGGAGGAGCUUGCUCUUCUGGAUGAGUUGCGAACGGGUGAGUAACGCAUAGGUAACCUGCCUGGUAGCGAGGGAUAACUAUUGGAAACGAUAGCUAAUACCGCAUAACAGUAGAUGUUGCAUGACAUUUGCUUAAAAGGUGCAAUUGCACCACUACCAGAUGGACCUGCGUUGUAUUAGCUAGUUGGUGGGGUAACGGCUCACCAAGGCGACGAUACAUAGCCGACCUGAGAGGGGGAUCGGCCACACUGGGACUGAGACACGGCCCAGACUCCUACGGGAGGCAGCAGUAGGGAAUCUUCGGCAAUGGACGGAAGUCUGACCGAGCAACGCCGCGUGAGUGAAGAAGGUUUUCGGAUCGUAAAGCUCUGUUGUAAGAGAAGAACGAGUGUGAGAGUGGAAAGUUCACACUGUGACGGUAUCUUACCAGAAAGGGACGGCUAACUACGUG
rnacentral:rRNA from 1 species